AUCGCUUCUCGGCCUUUUGGCUCAGAUCAAGUGUAGUAUCUGUUCUUAUCAGUUUAAUAUCUGAUACGUCCCCCAUCGGGGGACUACAUAUUAAAUGGAUUUUUCGAACAGGGAGUCGGAAAUGGGGCUUGCUCCGUCCGCUCCACGCAUCGACCCGGUAUUGCAGUACCUCCGGGAACGGU
rnacentral:snRNA from 8 species